UACAGAGGGGGCAAGCGUUGUUCGGAAUUACUGGGCGUAAAGGGCGCGUAGGCGGCCUUCUAAGUCGAACGUGAAAUCCCCGGGCUCAACCCGGGAACUGCGUCCGAUACUGGAAGGCUUGAAUCCGGGAGAGGGAUGCGGAAUUCCAGGUGUAGCGGUGAAAUGCGUAGAUAUCAGGAGGAACACCUGUGGCGAAGGCGGCUCUCUGGUCCCACACUGACGCUGAGGCGCGAAAGUUAGGGUAGCAAACAGG
rnacentral:rRNA from 1 species